rnacentral:tRNA from 1 species
GGGCGAGUAGUUCAGGGGUAUGAAUGCCUGGUUUGCAACCAGGAAGUCGAGGGUUCAAAUCCCUCCUCGUCCACCA